UACGUAGGUGGCAAGCGUUGUCCGGAUUUACUGGGCGUAAAGAGCGCGCAGGCGGUCGUUUCAAGUCGAGUGUGAAAGCCCCCGGCUCAACUGGGGAGGGUCACUCGAUACUGAUCGACUCGAAGGCAGGAGAGGGAAGUGGAAUUCCCGGUGUAGUGGUGAAAUGCGUAGAUAUCGGGAGGAACACCAGUGGCGAAGGCGGUUUUCUAGCUUAAACCUGACGCUGAUGCGCGAAAGCAAGGGGAUCAAACAGGG
rnacentral:rRNA from 1 species